ensembl:miRNA microRNA 675
CCCAGGGGCUGGCGCGGAGAGGGCCCACAGUGCACUCAGUGACACUGUAUGCCUUCACCGCUCAGCCCCUGGG